rnacentral:rRNA from 1 species
GUCCACGCCCUAAACGAUGUCUACUAGUUGUUGGUGGAGUAAAAUCCAUGAGUAACGCAGCUAACGCGUGAAGUAGACCGCCUGGGGAGUACGGUCGCAAGAUUAAAACUCAAAUGAAUUGACGGGGCCGCACAAGCGGUGGAUUAUGUGGAUUAAUUCGAUGCAACGCGAAAACCUUAACCUGGCCUUGACAUGUAACGAACUUUCCAGAGAUGGAUUGGUGCUCGAAAGAGAACGUUAACACAGGUGCUGCAUGGCUGUCGU